rnacentral:rRNA from 1 species
CGUGUAGGCGGUUUGGUAAGUCAGAUGUAAAAGGUCCCGGCUUAACCGGGGAUAGUCAUUUGAAACUGCCAGGCUUGAGUUCGAGAGAGGGUAGCGGAAUUCCCAGUGUAGCGGUGAAAUGCGUAGAUAUUGGGAAGAACACCAGUAGCGAAGGCGGCUACCUGGCUCGCAACUGACGCUAAGGCGCGAAAGCGUGGGGAGCAAACA